rnacentral:rRNA from 1 species
GAUGAACGCUGGCGGCGUGCCUAAUACAUGCAAGUCGAGCGAACGGACGAGAAGCUUGCUUCUCUGAUGUUAGCGGCGGACGGGUGAGUAACACGUGGAUAACCUACCUAUAAGACUGGGAUAACUUCGGGAAACCGGAGCUAAUACCGGAUAAUAUUUUGAACCGCAUGGUUCAAAAGUGAAAGACGGUCUUGCUGUCACUUAUAGAUGGAUCCGCGCUGCAUUAGAUAGUUGGUAAGGUAACGGCUUACCAAGGCAACGAUGCAUAGCCGACCUGAGAGGGUGAUCGGCCACACUGGAACUGAGACACGGUCCAGAGUCCUACGGGAGGCAGCAGUAGGGAAUCUUCCGCAAUGGGCGAAAGCCUGACGGAGCAACGCCGCGUGAGUGAUGAAGGUCUUCGGAUCGUAAAACUCUGUUAUUAGGGAAGAACAUAUGUGUAAGUAACUGUGCACAUAUUGACGGUACCUAAUCAGAAAGCCACGGCUAACUACGUG